rnacentral:snRNA from 1 species
UUGCUUCAGCAGCACAUAUACUAAAAUUGGAAUAAUACAGAGAAGAUUAGCAUGGCGCCUGCACAAGGAUGACAAGUUUGCUGCAUUACAUAUUU